AUGGUCACUGUGUCCGCAUGGGAAGACGUUGAUUGAAUGAGGUAUAAGCCCGGAGACCGGCCUGCUACACCAUUAUUUA
rnacentral:ncRNA from 2 species